AGCAACAACAACAGCAGCAAUGGCCGCUUUCCGCAGAGUGGCAGCGUUGGCCGGUAAGCUAAACAUCCGGUCCGCGGCGAGAGCCGAGCUCCUCGGUGGUCAGACGGCCAGUGGAGGAAGGGUACGGAAGUGUUUGGCUGUCGGGAUGUGUCUUGCAACGGGAGGCGCCGUGGCGGUUUACUUUUACAACGAUAUGGCGAGCGGCAGAGGCAGGAAGAGGAUGGGGGGUCACAGCAUCAACGGGUUGCUACCGUCCAUCCCGACCGUUAAAGCCAAGGAGAAGGCACGUCCGUUUGACUUUGAGGAGGGAGACGUGUACAUGUCUUCACAUGAGCAUCGCUUCCGCAUGUUUAGCUCUGUGGACUAUGAAGGGCAGCUCUACAUGACACCACAGAAUUUCAUCGAGUCAGUCACCAUGAGCGAACCCAGAAACAAGAGGCCCUGGAGGUCCCUGGCCAAACAGGAGCUGGAGAAAAUUUUGGCAGAAACUCCCCCAGUAUGGAGAGGAUCAUCCAAACUGUUCCGCAACCUGAGAGAAAGAGGCAUCGUCUCAUACACAGAGUACCUGUUCCUGCUCUGCAUCCUGACAAAGCCCCAUGCUGGCUUCAAGAUUGCUUUCAAUAUGUUUGAUGCAGACGGCAACCAGAUGGUGGACAAGAGGGAGUUCUUGGUGCUUCAGGAGAUCUUCCGGAAGAAAAAUGAGAAGAGAGGGAGGAAAGGAGAUGCUGAGAAGUCAGCACAGUUGAGUAUGCAGCUCUAUGGAUAUCAGGUUGCCCCCAUGAACAGCGUGCUAAAAAAAGACAGUCAGGAGUUUGUGGCGCGGAGUUACUGGGACGUUCUGAGGCGAGGCGCCAGUCAAGUCCUCUUUUCUGACCUGGCGGAGCGAGCGGAUGAGAGUAUCACGAUUGACACCACCUUAUUGGUCCAUUUCUUUGGCAAGAAAGGGAAGGCAGAGCUUACAUUUGAUGACUUCUACAGGUUCAUGGAUAACCUUCAAACAGAGGUGUUGGAAAUUGAGUUUCUGACCUUCUCUAAAGGGAUGACCACCAUUAGUGAAGAAGACUUUGCCAAAAUCCUGCUUCGCUUCACCAAUGUGGAGAACAUCAGCGCCUACCUGGAGAACGUCCGCCACUGUAUACCUGACGAGAAGCAGGAGGGAAUCACCUUUGAUGAGUUCCGAUCAUUCUUCCAGUUCCUCAACAAUCUCGAGGACUUUGCCAUUGCCAUGCAGAUGUACAAUUUUGCAUCUCGCUCCAUUGGUCAAGAUGAGUUUGCCAGAGCGGUGUAUGUUGCCACUGGGCUGAAGCUGACACGUCACCUCGUACACACCAUCUUCAAGAUCUUCGACGUGGAUCACGACGACCAGCUCUCCUACAAGGAGUUCAUCGGAAUAAUGAAGGACCGGCUGCACAGGGGAGCCAGGGGGGUUAAAUCUUGGCCAUUACUUGAAGUGAAAAACUCCAAAUGAACUGGAAAUCACCUUGAACGACUUCCUAUAGUGUUGUUCCCAAGGAGGGAUACUGCCCUCUAGUGGUGAAGGGCCGACACCACUCCUCCUUCUCCGGCUGUGUUCGCUCUGGAGCCAGAAGACAAGUGCACCACCUCUGGAUGAAGUACAAGGAGAAGUCGUAGAAGAAGAGAGAGAAAAGAUGAAGAAAGAAGUCUGAUGAUGGAAUAAAUCAAAUUGAUCUCUUUCUUUUGUGGCCUAAAUGAACAACAUUGUGUUUUUAGGGGAGCUUGGACUUCCAAAGCAGAUACUAACUACCAGCAUGCCUGCACCCAGCUGACUGACUCUCUGUAUGAUGAUAGCGAGCAACAUCACUCCUGUUGUUAUUCUUGUUUUUCCAGUCAUGUUAAUAUGAUACUAAACAUCAUUUUCAGUGUAUAAACAAAACAGAAUUAGAUUGGAUUAUGACUUUACUCUCCGAGCAUAGCACCUCUACAACAGUCAGUAUAAAUGCAACUAAUGAUUAUUUCUAUUUUGGAUAAAUCUAUCAACUAAAUAAAGAUUAAGCUAUAAGACAUUGUUCUAAUACCACUCUUAUUAUUAACACAUGGAAAUGGCAAAGUAUUUAUACGAAUAUUAUAUGGAUAUAACUAAGCAAGUUACAGCAUUUUUUAAGUUUUACAAAAUUAAUGAUAUAAUCACUCAAUGACUGACGUUUCUAAAUUACUUAUCAAAACUAUAAUAUUUGCCUUUUUAAGAAAUAAUAAUUAGCUGAACUGCUGUACUACAAACUAAAAAAAGCACAAGUUAUUAAAUAACAAAAAUCUAUUUGAUAAUGAUAACGUUAGCCAUAUACAAUGAAUAGCAGCAAUGUAAAAUAAUAUAUUAACAUACUUAGGUAUGUAGAUCUUAGGUAUAGUGAAUAUGUAUUGUCUUCACCUCUUUUUAUUAAUCUCUCUUUUUUAACUUAAAUAUGUUUUAUCUCAUCUAGACUGUAUAGUUGUUGCUUUUUAUUGCACAAAGAGAGUAUGCAAACACUAUUGUUACAGUUAGGAUGCUAUAUUAUCCUAAUAUCACUACAGCACAGGGGAUGUCUUUGACAUGAAUAUGACAGCAUAGAACAUGAUAGAAAAGGGAAGAUAUUUUGUUGCUAUAUUAUAAUUGUAUUGUAAUAUUGAGAUUUGACAUGAUUGAAUCCCUAAUGUCUUGGACCUGUUUCUUGUCUUAGUUGCAUGUACUACAUUAUACAUGUCUAUAUAUCAACAUAGGUGCCUUCUUUACAUUCCCUUUGUCAUGCGAAAAAUGUCACAUAGCAUAUCUUUUCUGCUACUAAUUCAGUACUGUAGCUUUUAACAGCAACAUAACUGGAAAACAUGUGCAUUGGUUACACUAUAUGUACUAAGUGUGUUUUAUCACCCAAUCAUUAAUGUUUCAACAUAUUAUGAACCAUUGAGUAUAAUUUGAUGAAAUAUGGAAUAUAUUUUUAAAUGAAGUGUGUAGGAAAUGGUCUCAUCAUGUUUGCAAUAUUUUCUUUGUGACCUAAAUCAGUGGAUUGACCUGUUGAAUUAACUUUCAUGCAUGAAUAAACUAUUUUAAGAAGA